GUGGGGAAUAUUGGACAAUGGGCGCAAGCCUGAUCUAGCCAUGCCGCGUGAGUGAUGAAGGCCCUAGGGUUGUAAAGCUCUUUCAGCUGGGAAGAUAAUGACGGUACCAGCAGAAGAAGCCCCGGCUAACUCCGUGCCAGCAGCCGCGGUAAUACGGAGGGGGCUAGCGUUGUUCGGAAUUACUGGGCGUAAAGCGCGCGUAGGCGGACUGAAAAGUUGGGGGUGAAAUCCCGGGGCUCAACCUCGGAACUGCCUUCAAAACUAUCAGUCUGGAGUUCGAGAGAGGUGAGUGGAAUUCCGAGUGUAGAGGUGAAAUUCGUAGAUAUUCGGAGGAACACCAGUGGCGAAGGCGGCUCACUGGUCUGGUACUGACGCUGAGGUGCGAAAGCGUGGGGAGCAAACAGGAUUAGAAACCCGAGUAGUCC
rnacentral:rRNA from 1 species